CGGGGCGUAGCGUAGCUUGGUAGCGCGUCUGAAUGGGGUUCAGAAGGUCGUGAGUUCAAAUCUCACCGCCCCGACCA
rnacentral:tRNA from 8 species